rnacentral:rRNA from 1 species
AGAGUUUGAUCUGGCUCAGGACGAACGCUGGCGGCGUGCUUAACACAUGCAAGUUGUACGGUAUGUCAUGGAAGCUUGCUGAAGUGACAUAUAGUAGCGAACGGGUGAGUAAUGCAUGAGAAUUUAUCCUUAGGAGGGGGACAACAGCUGGAAACGGCUGCUAAUACCCCGUAUGCCGGAAGGUGAAAGGUGCGAGAGUGCCGCCUGGGGUUGAGCUCAUGUCCUAUCAGCUAGUUGGUGGGGUAACGGCCUACCAAGGCGACGACGGGUAGCCGGCCUGAGAGGGUGAACGGCCACACUGGAACUGAGGCACGGUCCAGACUCCUACGGGAGGCAGCAGUGGGGAAUUUUGGGCAAUGGGGGAAACCCUGACCCAGCGACGCCGCGUGAGGGAAGACAGCCUUCGGGUUUUAAACCUCUUUUGUACGGGAAGAUAAUGACGGUACUGUACGAAUAAGUCCCGGCUAACUACGUGCCAGCAGCCGCGGUAAUACGUAGGGGACGAGCGUUGUCCGGAAUUACUGGGCGUAAAGGGCGCGCAGGCUGCGUUACAAGUCAGCUGUUAAAUGCAUGGGCUUACCCCAUGAGUGCGGUUGAAACUGUAGUGCUAGAGUACUGUAGAGGCAAGCGGAAUUCCCAGUGUAGCGGUGAAAUGCGUAGAUAUUUGGAAGAAUACCAAUGGCGAAGGCAAGUUUCUGGCAGAUAACUGACGCUGAGGUGCGAAGGUGCGGGGAGCAAACAGGAUUAGAUACCCUGGUAGUCCGCACAGUAAACGAUGUACACUAGGUGUUUGACCAUGAGGUUGAGUGCCAUAGCUAACGCAAUAAGUGUACCGCCUGGGAAGUAUGCCCGCAAGGGUGAAACUCAAAGGAAUUGACGGGGGCCCGCACAAGCGGUGGAGCAUGUGGUUUAAUUCGAUGGUACGCGAGGAACCUUACCUGGGUUUGACAUAUACUGGAAUGUUAUAGAGAUAUAGCAGCGUAGCAAUACGCCGGUAUACAGGUGCUGCAUGGCUGUCGUCAGCUCGUGCCGUGAGGUGUUGGGUUAAGUCCCGCAACGAGCGCAACCCCUACUGUCAGUUGCUAACAGAUAAUGCUGAGGACUCUGGCGGAACUGCCGGUGACAAACCGGAGGAAGGUGGGGAGGACGUCAAGUCAUCAUGGCCCUUAUGUCCAGGGCUACACACGUGCUACAAUGGUAGAAACAACGGGCCGCGAAUCCGCGAGGAGGAGCCAAUCCCCAAAUCCUAUCUCAGUUCAGAUUGCAGGCUGAAACUCGCCUGCAUGAAGCAGGAAUUGCUAGUAAUGGCAGGUCAGCAUACUGCCGUGAAUACGUUCCCGGGCCUUGCACACACCGCCCGUCA